rnacentral:rRNA from 1 species
UACGUAGGGGGCAAGCGUUGUCCGGAUUUAUUGGGCGUAAAGAGCGUGUAGGCGGCCAUACAGGUCCGUUGUGAAAACUCGAGGCUCAACCUCGAGACGUCGAUGGAAACCGUAUGGCUAGAGUCCGGAAAGAGGAGAGUGGAAUUCCUGGUGUAGCGGUAGAAAUGCGCAGAUAUCAGGAGGAACACCAAUGGCGAAGGCAGCUCGCUGGGACGGUACUGACGCUGAGACGCGAAAGCGUGGGGAGCAAACAGG